rnacentral:rRNA from 1 species
UACGUAGGGGGCAAGCGUUGUCCGGAAUUAUUGGGCGUAAAGAGCGUGUAGGCGGCCAGAUAAGUCCGCUGUGAAAUCUCGAGGCUCAACUUCGAGCUGUCGGUGGAAACUAUCUGGCUAGAGUCCGGAAGGGGAGAAUGGAAUUCCUGGUGUAGCGGUGAAAUGCGCAGAUAUCAGGAAGAACACCCGUGGCGAAGGCGGAUCUCUGGGCCGAUACUGACGCUGAGGAGCGAAAGCGUGGGGAGCGAACAGG